UACGUAGGGAGCAAGCGUUGUUCGGAUUUACUGGGCGUAAAGGGCGCGUAGGCGGCGCGGUAAGUCACUUGUGAAAUCUCUGAGCUUAACUCAGAACGGCCAAGUGAUACUGCAGUGCUAGAGUGCAGAAGGGGCAAUCGGAAUUCUUGGUGUAGCGGUGAAAUGCGUAGAUAUCAAGAGGAACACCGGUGGCGAAGGCGGGUCUCUGGGCCGAUACUGACGCUGAGGAGCGAAAGCGUGGGGAGCGAACAGG
rnacentral:rRNA from 1 species